UUUUUUUUUUUUUCCUUUUAGGGUCUCACCUGCGGCCUGUGGAGGCUCCUAGGCUAGGCCUACACCACAGCCACAGCCACAUCGGAUCCAAGCCGCAUCUGGGACCGACACUGCAGCUGGAUCCUUAACCCACUGAGAGGCCAGGCAUCAAACCUGAAUCCUCACGGACCCUAGUCAGGUUCUUAACCCGCUGAGCCACAGUGGGAACUCCAGCCACUGAUUUUCUGAAGCUAAUUCCUUCAUUACCUCUUUGCACAACUUGCACCGAAGCUGGAAGAGGCCAGCAGGGAUCUCCGCUCGAGUCUUUGCAGGGAGUGUGGCCCUGCCAGUAUGUUGACUUCUGGCUUCCAGCCUCCGGAGCUGUGAGAGAGUUUAUUUCCAUUCAGACAUCCAGCUUGUGGUACUUCGUAAUGACAGCUCUAGGAAGCCAAUACACAUGCACUCAUGGAAUGAUUUGAUUGAACAAAUGAUAGGUAGCUAGAUAGACGUCCGUAGAGACGUAUCUGCAGGAGGAGGCAUGCGCAGAAGUGGUGCAUUACAUAAGAGCCUGUAGCAAAACGUCAGUUGUGGUUAUUUUUAGUGGUAUGAGGACGAGUGACUUUUCUUUCUUUCUUCUUCUUAGGAUUCUCGAUAACCAGCAGUUAAUAUUUUAAUAAUCAGAACUAGGAGUUUCCACUGUGGCUCAGCUGGUUAAGGACCUGACAUAGUCUCUGUGAGGAUGCAGGUCUGAUCCCUGGCUUAGCUCAGGGGGUUGAGGAUCCAAAGGAUCCCAUGUUGCCACAAGUGGAGGCACAAGCUGUGGCGAAGGUCCAGACGUGGCUCAGAUCCGGGGUCGCCGUGGCUGUGGCAGAGCCUGCAGCUGCAGCUCUGUUUCAACCCCUAGCCUGGAACGUCCAUAUGUGGCAGGUGUGGCGGCAAAAAGAAAAAGAAAAAAUCAGAACACAAUUAACUGUUCAUCUAAUGGAUGCUUCUGGCCCAUUAACACCCAAAGCUGUAAACAAGAUCGACUUAAAUCCCACUUUCAAGGUACUUACAUUGCUUAUACGGGUGUUUAGCCAGUAUGGCCCACGAAAAGUCUUUGUCUUUCUAAGCAAAGCCGUGGUUGGCUUUGAGUGUUUUACUUCUUUGCUUAGUUUUCUAUUGAAAGAUAAUCCUUUCCACGUUCCAACACUUUGCAUCGGCCCCUGUUCUGGAGAGUUUUCAAUAUUCCUCAGUUCUUCUUUCUAACGUGUUGAGAUACAAAAUAAGCUCGGGGGUCUAGACUUCUUCAGGAUAAAGGAAAGCCUCGCAAUAAUGACAGUGCCCAGCCUUGCUCUGUGCUGGACACUAUUCUAAGUGCUUUACACACGCUGACCUGGGCUAGAACCCUCUUCAUCUCCAAAAUGGCCAGUUUGGAUGAUUAGUUAUGCAGUGACCCUGCCACAUUUUACAAAUGAGGAGACCAAAGCCUAAAGACAUUAGGUAACCUGCGCAGGCUCACACAAGGAAGUGAGGGGCAGAGCUGGGAUGGAACCCAAGCUCUGGAAUCGAUGCUCUUCUGAACACCAUACAGUACUGUUUGCCAUGCAUCUGGCAGAAGGUUACGGAAGCGUGGAGAUGCUGCAAGUGAAAUGCACCCUUUUUUCCUAAGUUACUACUGACUAGGUUCUUUAGGUGUCAUUUUAAAUCUAUUUUCUACCCUGUACAUAAGCACGAGAGAGAGUGAAAUGGACUUAAGGAGCGUCCCCCAAGUCCUGGGAAAUUGUCUGCAAUUGUUCUUAGAUAAGAGCACAGCCGUUAGGCGAGGACACGGUCGGAAGAUCAAAAGCCUGCAGGGACCCGCGGACGCAGAGCACAGACCGAACCGAUCCCUGGCCUGAAGUAUUUCUCUGCCUCCUUUUGCCCUUAGGACCCAGUCUAACAGUCUCACCCAUCCAAGACGGUGGCCACCGGGCCUUACAGGUUUUCUUUCUGCUUCCGGAAUGUUUCACCCUUUCUGCCACUGUGGGCUUUUCUCUGCACACGCUGUUCCUCCUGCCUGGAGAGCCCUCCCUUCCCCAGCAUCUUUGCCAAGACAUCCAAGGUUGAAUCCCGCUUUGCAGAGAGGGGGCACCCUGUUCCCACCCCAGCCCCCACCGCCAGGACCCUCUGUGAGGGCAAGACCCUCGGUGACACACACCAAGGGCUUGCUUGGCUGGCUUCUGUGACACUCAUGGCUCCCGUCCAAGCUCUGUUUUCUCAUUACUCUGGAGGCCCUUAUCCAGCUUGCUCAAUGCUGCAUCCUCAGCGUCAGCACACAGGGAAUCAUCUGGAAAUAUUUGUAGACUGAAUUGCUGACUGCCACCCAGACUGGAGGAAACAGAAGACUCCCCUCCACACACGCAUAAGCUUCGGGCUCGAAAAGUUUACAACGAAUGGAAGCAAUAAACAAGGAUACAUCAAUCAUGAUAUUGCAAAAUUAGCGGAAUGGGGUUAAGGCCUGGUGGAGACUGCACACUCUUUAGCCGCCUCAAAAGACGACGGUUAAAUUUAUCAAAUAGGAGUUUGAGAUGUCUUGCCGUUUUAAAUUAAUUAGCUCUUGUACAUUCUAAUUUGCACAGAAGAAUUUACGUUUUCACAGCUCACCUUAUACAGAAAGAUCCAGCAUCCAUCUGACACUAAGAUAUGUUCCACAGCUUAAGACAUACGCAGAGCUGGGACCAAUAAAUGAUUAUGUUUCAUGAGGGGCUAAUUGUUUAUCCCUUCUGGAGCUAUUCGUCUUGACAUAUAUAAACAUCGAGUAUAGCUGUUUAUAAAGGGAGACAUAAGUAAAAAGCAAGAAAAUGGAUUUUUUAAAAUGACACUUCUGAAUUCUUUUAUUCGUUUAUGUAACUCAGAGAUCAGCGGCCUGGGCUCUUCCCGUUAUUCCAGAGUUGCAGGGAGCACUCUUUCAGGUGAUAGGUACAUAAAAUUCAUCAGCUGCAUAGAGUAUCGGCUGGUGAUGGGUUGAUAGAUGCGAUGGGAGAAGUUAAACAGGACGAGGACUGGGAGACAAGGGGACAUUGCAGUGCUAACUAGACGGCACAAAAAAGCGUCACGAAGAUGGCUUGUGAGGAAUGACACGAAGCUGGUGAAAGAGGCAUGGAGGUGGGACAGAGGGUGCAAGCUUUCCAGCGAGAGCAAACGCCCUGAGGCGGAAGCUCGCCUGGGGACUUUGGGAACGGCACACAGGCUAACCUGGCGGAAGCAGAGCCAGCAAAGAGAGGAGACGCAGGAGAUGGAGGCCGAGGAAGCUGGCGUAGGAAACAAAAGCAGGGAGCCUUGCAGGGCUGUCGCACGGUCUUGGCUUUUAUCCCCAUGAGAUGGGAAGUCACCACAGCGCGUGACAAGAGGUGCGACAUGGGCUGACUGCUGGCUGAGUAGAGACUGCAGGGUCAAGGGCGAAAGCACAGUGAAUACUCUGGAGACUUCUGCAGAAAAGCAGGCAGGAGGUGAUGGUGGCCUGGACCGGGGAGGUGGCCGUGGGUGAUGAGAAAUGGCCGAUUACUAAUAUUCCAGAGAUGAAGUCACUUGUCUGCUUACUUCCUUUUUUUUUUUUUUAAUUUAUGACUGCACCCGUGGCAUAUGGAAGUUCCCGGGCCAAGGACUGAAUCUGCGACACAGCUGUGACCAAUGUCACAGCCACAGCAAUCCCAGGUCUUUUAACCCACUGCACCGGCGGGGGGACUGAACCUGGACCUCCUCCGUGGCCUGAACGGUGGCAGUCAGGUUCUUACCCCACUGUGCCGUGGCGGGAACUCCUGAUUACUUCCUCGUACACGUCGAUACGCAAAAGCCACAUUUCCUUCCAGAAAGCUGGUGUCAAUUAAUGCUUCCCAGAGACAGUUAAGGCGGAGGCCAUAUCUCCACACCUUCACCAACGAUGAAUUCAUGUAUUACUUAAAAUCUUAUUUUAUUUUAUUUUUAGGGCCACACCUGCAGCAUAUGGAGUUUCCC
rnacentral:lncRNA from 1 species